CCUACGGGCGGCAGCAGUGAGGAAUAUUGGUCAAUGGGCGGAAGCCUGAACCAGCCAAGUAGCGUGCAGGAUGACUGCCCUACGGGUUGUAAACUUCUUUUAUACGGGAAUAACGUGACUUACGUGUAGGGUUUUGUAUGUACCGUAUGAAUAAGGACCGGCUAAUUCCGUGCCAGCAGCCGCGGUAAUACGGAAGGUCCGAGCGUUAUCCGGAUUUAUUGGGUUUAAAGGGAGCGUAGGCGGCAUGUUAAGCGUGCUGUGAAAUGUCGGGGCUCAACCGUGGCAUUGCAGCGCGAACUGGCGGGCUUGAGUCCGCGGAAGGCAGGCGGAAUUCGUCGUGUAGCGGUGAAAUGCUUAGAUAUGACGAAGAACCCCGAUUGCGAAGGCAGCUUGCUGCAGCGGCACUGACGCUGAUGCUCGAAAGCGCGGGUAUCGAACAGGAUUAGAUACCCGAGUAGUC
rnacentral:rRNA from 1 species